UAUCUCCUGACCGCCACCAGGUCCUCCCCUUGGUCCACCGCCACCACCACCGCCGCCUGCUAAAACAGAAAGCACCCUUCAGCAUCGACGAUGGAUUUUCAAACGGGACAGCGGGUCACUCUACCAGAGAUACUGUGAAUCACCUGCGGAGAUGCAAGCAUGAGAGAACUCUGUAUGAAAGUAUUUGCGCAAGAGUUUUUGGCAGACCUGACCUAAGAUGCGGAUGGCCACGAAGAAGUCUUUCAAAAUAGACAUCAAAGCAGAAGCAUUUCUAAUUCCUCAAAAUUUCAUCCAGAUCGCAUAAUUGACUUUUUAUCGAUUGGCUUAUCUGCGUAACGCGUGGUUGCGCCACGCUCGGAGAAAUCCGCGAAUGUACUCGAGAUUAAUUCGUAAUUGAAUGGGGUCUAAUUACUUACUACAUCGCGACGCCGUACAACGGGAACGACACGAGAUGUUCCCCGAUGCGUUCUUAUUUUCGCAACACCGCGCGGCAUUCUCACCGACUUCGAAUCGUACUUUAAGAUACACACAGCCGUCCUCGGAUACGUCUUUCAUUAGAGCGCCUCGAGGGGGAUAAAAUGAUUAGGCGGUUCGCGUCAGCGUGUUUUCACUUUUCUUUCGCCUCCGUCCGGGGGCCCUAAUUCCACGGCAUACUUUACAUACUUGAUGUAAUUCAACUGAAGAGUGUCUCUCGUUGGGAGAUUUCUCACUCUCUACAACUGAGAUGGCACAUGUCUCCUCCUGUGCGGUGACAUCACAGCGCUACAUAGUUUGUUCUGUAAUUUCACCUGUUGCACAGGUUAUCUAAUUCGCCAUCAUUGCAUCAGGACAUAUUAGGUGCAUAGGUAAUUUCUAUCUAUCUCUUUCGCCGAUACUUUCUCGUCGUUUGGGAUCGUUCGAAGACUCUGU